CCCAGCUCGUCAUGCUAGAGCACUUUUUCAAUGUGCUCCCCAACGACAAGGCGACGACGCAUUUGUAUGUCAAUCCAUAUCAAACCAUUUACUGCGCCUACCAUAGUGACCACGGGUAACGGGGAAUCAGGGUUCGAUUCCAUACAGGGACCCUGACAAACCGCUACCACAUGCAAGGAAGGCAGCAGGCACGCAAAUGACUCACUCCCGACGCGGGGAGGCAGUGACG